ACAUAAUCUUAUCACACAGCCUAUUCCUCCCACCUAUUUUAUACAACUCUGCCCAAAGUAUACAGGGACUCACAGAGGGACUAGAGUAUAUAGGGCAGGGAAAACUAGUGACUGAGGCUCCAUCUACACCAUUAUAGGAAAACAGUCAUUCCUGCUAGAAAAAGACAUUCUGCUGCAACAUUCGUGAGUAUACGCACUGCAAUAAUUAUCAUGUAAUCUAUGUGGUUGAGAGUAUACACACUGCAUUAAUAAUCAUGUAUUCUAUGUGGUGUAAGAACAAUAACCUUAUUGGUUUCCAAGGGCUUAUCUUUAUGGAAUUGUAAAUAGGUUUGCUCUUUUGAACAUAUUGAGCAGGAGUUGUAGGAAUAGUUUACAUUUCUCUCCAAAUGAAGGAGUGUUUGUCCCAAUUAUGUUAGUUGGGAGUGCAAAACAAAACUUCAGUUUAAUUUUGGAAAUCAAAGAUGUUAUUCUUCAUAUGGAGAAUAAGACAAAUUGUAGAAAGACCUUUCUGUCCCACCAGCCACUUCCCAAAUAACCACUCAGAGACUUAAUAUUAAUUAUAAAUCCUCAGUUGAUAGGUAGGCUUGUUUGUAGCUAGCUCUUAUAACUUAAAUUAACCCAUUUCUAUUAAUCUAUGUGCUACCAUGAUACCUGUUUAUGUCAUAUACAUACUUCAUAUCCUACUCAUUCUGCAUCUUACGAUGUUUCUCUGACACCACCCUUCUUUUCCCCAGCAUUCUUUCUGACCUGAACAUCCUGCCUAGCCAUUGACCAAUCAUUUUUUUUAAUUAACAAAGAGAGAAACACAUCUUCCCAGUGUAUGGAAGGCUAGUUCAACAGCAACAAAUAAUUGAAGCAGAAUUGCAUGAGGGAACAUACAUUGCAUAGGAAAUAUUUACAUGAUUGUUUUACUGUACAGUGUUUUGAAUAGUUGUCCAGCCACUGAUAGUAGAAGUAUGAAAUGGCACGUCGAUAAUGGGAAGCUAUGUUGUCAGGGGGUAUGUAUGGAAGAAAUUACAGUAUAGUGUCUUUUUAUCUUUUAUAUGCUGUUUAAGUAAUUGUGGUUGGGUGGAUGCAUGGAGUUAGCUCUGGGGCUGGCGCAACUGAGGCAUAAGUCUCAGUGGACAGAUGCAGAGGCAACAUAGAUACUCCUACUGGUAAUGAGGGAUAUGUCCCAGUGUGAGUUGUCAAGGGUGAGACUGCAGGUGUAAGCUGUGGACUGCAGUAAGAAAUGGAUAUAAGAAUGGGAUUCUGUAUUGACAUCUGACAGUGGGAGCAAAUUGGAUAAAGGAGGAGCAAUAGUGUUGCUGGAUUUUUUGUUGUUUGUGUGAGAUGAUGGAAAGAGGGCACAGAUUAUAAGAAUAAUAUAGAACAUUGCCAGUGAUCCCCAAAACUGGAACCCCUGUGAAGAAUCCUGGAGUAAAUGGGAGUCACGUGAUCUAUAAAAACAAAAAGUUACCACAUGAGUGCUGCCUGUGAUACAUUGGAAAAUCUGUGAGACAGCAUUUAGGCAUCGGUAUUAUUGAGGAUCACAUAUGUGAGGCAUGGUAACCUGAGAUAAUUCCACAUAGAAAAUUCUGGUGUUGCUACUAAGCUUUAAGCAAGAAAUUGAGACUUUUUCACAGACUGACUUGUAUAGCUGUGCCUCAAGGGGACACAUAAGAUCAGUCUUAGGGUUGUGGAAGCCUAGAAACUGAGAAAUGUAACUAUUUAUUCCCCCUUGAGAUACAAUAUGCAUAAAGUGUUGUAGUAUACAGCAUAUUGUUCUCUGAUGGAGUGGUCUAUGUGAGCCAUUAGGGAUACUUGUCCAUGAACAGUGGAUUCUCUAGGGAGAUCAGAAGUUAAUGGACAGUAGAAGUGGAGCAAGCACUUCUGAGGGAACUAAGUAUGAGGAAAGCUAUGUGUGAUGUCCAGAUGAUUCAGGCAAUAGUACUGUGUUCACAGAAGGGCUUUAAGAUGGUCUUGGGCAUUUAGUGGCUUUGCUGAGCCUUAUGUUCAGCAAUAUCUUUAAAAGAUUGAAAGUCCUUUGCAUUUUUAAAUGACAUGGACCAGCAUGUAAAGAGUCUUUUUAAAGUGGUAUUGCAUCUUGGAAGAUAUGAGAGAAUGUAUAAGCAGAGGGAGAGGUCUAUCUUGUGUAGUUGACAGAAAGUUGUCAAGAUUUGUGUUGAGGCAGAGUUCCUAAGUAAAAAUAUGGAAACAAAGCAUAAUACUGCAGUAAUGAAGUCAACUAAAUGUAUUAUGUAAGUGAAAAUCCAAUUUUAUUCUGUUAUCCAAAUAUGACUGAACGUCUGAGAAACUCUUUACCUAGGAUAAGUUUAUAAAGUAAUUUAUAAGAUGAGUUAAAUGGUUAUUAGUAAAUGAUAUUUUUGAACCAUUAAUUUAUCUCAAAAUUUUAUUAUUCAUAUGUGUGUAUGUACAUGUUUGUGUGUCGUGUCUUAUUUUAGUAAGAUUUGAAAAUAGGAAGCGCGAGUGGAAUGCUCUUAUGUUGUUCUUAUUUUCAGAAUGGUUUCACCAUUACUGGAUAUCUUAUGGUUCUGAACAAAUUUAGAACAAUUUUGAUCAUUUAGUGAAAAGAAUGACACAUAUGGAGAUCUGUAUGCCCUCUGUACCUAAUCUCUACAGUGCUUGUCAUUACUGCAAUCAUAAUAACAGUAAAAUUACUUGACUGGGAAUUUGGGACUUUCUAAACAUCAUGUAAAUCUUACUAAUCAUUUGACUAUUUUCUGUUUAAGUGUACAUGUUUUUAAGUUUCUCACCGUUUAUUCCUAAACAUUUCCCUUUUUAUUUUAUGAUCCUGAUGUAGUGUCUCACAAACCUGUUUAUGUUAAUCUCAGACUCAGGCUCCAAGGAAGUGCAUCUCCACAAAUUCUGAGAAGGUUUCACUGAAGACGUGAUCAUCACAUCUAGCUGGUGUGUCUGACUGUGCUGCUUGGUGUGAUUGCAACUCAGGCACAGAAGCCAAUGCUUCCUCUCUCCAUCCUGAGAGCUGACACUGGAGGAGCCCACUUCCCUGAGCUUAUGGAUCCAUGACAAUGAAGGAACAUGAGGUCAGGACGGUUUGAUCAACUGGAAAAAAAAAAAGGAGCUGGUCACUCAAGAGUAGUUGCAAAGAAUUGAUAAUUUGAUGGACCAUGAUGAGGAAGAUUGAGAGACAUAGAAAUGACAUCACUUAAUCUGGUCAGGAGGGUGAUUUGCUCCAUGUGGAUAUCUAGAUGGAUCACAUUGAUGUUUGGGAAUGACAGUCCACUAGAUACCUUAAGGGGUCUCACCAUACUGCACAUGACAAUCUCUGACUCAGGCCCUGAGGAGGUGCUUCUCCUCUGUCUCCUGUGGAGCUUUCCCUGAAGAUGCAGACCCCACACCUAGCUGGUGGAAUCUGAGGCAUUUCUGAUACAGAUGCUGACUGCUGCCAAGUGAGAUUACAGCUCAAGCCCUGAAGCCAUGCUUCCUCUCAGCAUCCUGAGAAGCUCACACUCUCAGCUGAUGAUGCUACACAGAAACACAUGUGCUGUUACCUGCAUGGCAGAGUGAAAUGACAUAAAUGGGGCCAAUAAACAAGGAUCCAUGGCAAUGAAGGAACAUGAGGUCAGAACUGUUUGAUCAGCAGAAAGAAAAAGGUAUGGUGCUAAGAGGAUGAUUUGCACAUUCCAGGCUUUCAACAGCAGCCAGAUAUGUUGAAUGAAGAGUCAACAGAUUCUACCACAGCCACAUUGCCAACUCUUAGGCUCUCUGAUGACACAGGUCAUGUUAAAAAAGUUUAGUGCACUAGUUAUCGUGUUUUUUUCUAAGUAGUGAUGAUAUGUUAGCAAGAAUGCAGUCUUAAUUUGAUUAUUCUUUUGUACUCAUACGUGUGCAUGCUUACAAAUAUCCCUUCAUCUCUUUUCAGAGACUCCAUUUUUUAACAACCUGUAGUGUGACUUUCAUAGUUUAGAAAGGUAUUGCUUCUGGAUCAUGGGGAAGUUCUAGAGAAAUGCUGCAGCACCAAUUCAUGAGUUCAGUACAAAGCAUGGUUGUGUGGAGGGAUGGUGUAUACAGUGAUGGGAAAACUUGCCAUGGAGUUGGGUCUGAAUUAGAGAAUAUAUGGCUUACUAAUAUUUUCCUUAUUUAAUCAUGGUAUUAUAAUUACUGAUGAAGUGUAUAAUUAUAUAAGAAUUGAAGUGCUAAAAUUUAUUUUGUAGGGGCAGUGGUGGCUCCCUCCUUUAAUCCCAGCACUUUUGAGGCAGAGGCAAGCAGAUCUUUGAGUUUGAACCCAGCCUGGUACAGAAAGAGUUAAAGAACAGUCUAGGCUACACAUAGAAAUCCUGUCUCAAAAUCUGCCUCAUCCGAAAUAAACAAUGACAAAAAAUUUUAUUAUAUCAUAUUAUUCAUGGCUGUUAUUCAGUGUUAUACAAAUAUGAGGAGUUGAUGAUUGAAUCAUAUAUGUGUGGCAGAAGAAUUAACAUUAGAAAAUACUACCAAUAAUUUGUCCACACCUGCGACCAGUUUAUUGAUUGUUUACUUCAUCCAGAUCUCAAAUUACACCAAGAAUCAGGCAUUCUUAUCAUUUCCUUGGCUAUUUGUCAACCUGAGAGAAAUUAAGUAAUAUAGAUGAACCUUGGAUGCCCUCAUUCUGUCCCCAUGGUCUUUCCUUAAAUAACCCAGUUUAGUGCCUUUUCUCUGUUGUGACUCUAUUAUCUGUGAAUUAAAGCAUUUAGUUUCGGGAGGAUAUUUCCUUUACUAGGGGCGCUGCAUUCACUUACACUAUUAAAGAAACUCAUGAACUUACUAGUUUGAAAAGACUUCUGAAAAUUGCCUCAUUUAUAUACAUAGUAAAUAAUUAUUGUGAAAGUGGGUUCUGUCUAGUGGAGCUGAUGGUUAUCAUGGAGUAGCGCAUCUGGCUCUGCACCUGUCCCAAGUCAUUGCUGCUGCUGGGUUGAGCUUUUGGUGAUAUAUGUGCCUGAAUUCCACCAGUAACUCCAAUAAGCACACUGGUUCACCAUAUAGACGUCUAGAGCAAUUUUAUGGAUGCCCUGUCCAGAAUGAAAGGAUCUUUUUUCAUACCUCUCUAGGGAAAGAUAAAUAAUAGGAAAAUAUAUCAAGGUGCAGUUUAAUUUUUAUAUUUCUACAAAUUAUUUCUUUAAUUUUUUCAGAUUAUAAUUACAUCAUUCACCCCAUGCUUUCUUCCUCCAAAUCAUCCUAUAUACCCCCCUGUGCUCUCCUGCAAAUUCUUGUCCUUUUAAUACAUUAUUUAAUGUUAGGUACACAAAACUGUAUGUACAUAUAUAUUUACAAAUAAGUAUAUCCUGCUAGUUCUCUCUAAUAUUACAUUUUUAUGUUUUCAGUACUGACCAAUAAGUAUGGUUACAUCUUUAUGUGUGCUUCGCUUGUUAAAAUAAUUUUUUUUUCAAAUUUUGAUGAGUCACAUAUUCUCCAGUAUUGUUUCUUUUACCUCAUAUGAAAGAGAUGAUUUUAGUAUUUUGAGCAUGGCUAUUGACACUUAUUUGUCUAAAGUUCAAGUGAAACUGAAGCUGGCACCAUUGUUCCUCAAAUUUUCAGAGAUAUAGCCUCAGUUAAUUAUUUAAUAUCAGGCUUCUUCUUUUUCUUCCACUACUGCCUGGAUCUUUAGGAAAUAUUUAUUUCUCCAGCAUCAUUUGCCAGGUGUCUCACAAACUUGCUCAUGUUAAUCUCAGACUCAGGCUCAGAGGAGUACUUCUCCACAACUUCUGAGAAGGUUUCACUGAAGACACGGUCAUCACAUCUAGCUGAUGUGUGAUUUCAACUCAAGCACAGAAGUCAUGCUUCCUCUCUGCAUCCUGAGAAGGUGACACUGGAGGAUCCCACUUCCCUGAGCUUAUGGUAUUAUAAGACCACUUGCCACAAUAUUUCAUUUCAGAUUAUUGAUUGAUCAUGAUCCAUAGGAAUGAAAGAACAUGAGGUCAGGACUGUUUGACCAACUGAAAAAAGGAGCUGGUCACUCAAGAAUUCUUGCAAAGAAUGGAUAAUUUGAUGGACCAUGAUGAGGAAGAUUGAGGAGUUAGAGAAAUAAUCUGAUCACAAGCAAGAUUUGCUUCAUGUGAAUUUCUAGAUGGAUCACAUUGAUGUUGUGAGGAUUGACAGUCAACCAGAAACCUGAAGAUACUACACAGAAACACAUGUGCUGUUACCUGCAUGGCAGAGUGAAAUGACAUAAAUGGGGCCAAUAAACAAGGAUCCAUAGGAAUGGAGGAACAUGAGGUCAGGACUGUUUGGUCAACUGAAAAAAAAAGGAGCUGGUCAUUCAAGAGUAGUCACAAAGAAUGCAUGAUGUGAUGGACCAUGUGGAGGAAGAUUGAGGAAGCAGAGACAUGAUAUCAAUUAAUCUGGUCAGGAGGGAAAUUUGAUUCCUGUUGACAUCUGGAUGGAUCAUAUUGAUGGCUGUGAAACAACAGUGACCUAGAAACCUGAAGGGUAUGCUGCUAAGAGGAUGGUUUGCAGGAGGCCGGGCUUUCAACAGCAGCCAGGUAUGCUGGAUGGAGAGUCAACAGCUUCUGCUACAGCCACAAUGGCAAACCACAAUGGCUCUCUGAUAACUCAGUGUCUCACAAGCUUGUUUAUGAUAAUCUCAGACUCAGGCUUGGAAGAAGUGCUUCUCCACAAAUUUUAAGAUUUCACAGAAGACAUGGUCAUCACAUCUAGCUGGUGGUAUUGUAAAUCUUGGUGUUUUUCCCCUUUCUUUUACAAUUACUAAUUUCUUGCAUGUAAAAUUCAAUUACAGAUUUUUAUUAUCAUGUACUAUUUUAUGGGCCUUAUUUUUAUAUCCAUAUAUUUUGUGUAUGUCUUACUAUUUUCAUAGAAAUCACAUGAUGUUCUUUCCAACUAGAUGUUGUUUAUGUUUCUUGUCAUAGAAACCCCUCUUGUUCAUUUUAUCCAGUAAUUUGCCUGAGGACAAUGUCCAGUAAAUGUUCUGUGAUGUGGCAUCCUCUUGUAUC